UUAUAGUAUUACAGUCUUCAACACGGAGUCUUUGCUUAUAAAUCAUUUAUAAGCAAAGACUCCGUGUUGAAGACUGUAAUUUGA
rnacentral:sRNA from 1 species